rnacentral:rRNA from 1 species
CCUACGGGAGGCAGCAGUGAGGAAUAUUGGUCAAUGGGCGCGAGCCUGAACCAGCCAAGUCGCGUGAGGGAAGACGGUCCUAUGGAUUGUAAACCGCGUUUGUCGGGGAGCAAAAGACGCCACGCGGGGCGGUCCGAGAGUACCCGAAGAAAAAGCAUCGGCUAACUCCGUGCCAGCAGCCGCGGUAAUACGGAGGAUGCGAGCGUUAUCCGGAUUUAUUGGGUUUAAAGGGAGCGUAGGUGGAUUGUUAAGUCAGUUGUGAAAGUUUGCGGCUCAACCGUAAAAUUGCCGUUGAAACGGGCAGUCUUGCGUACAGUAUCGGUGGGCGUUCUUCGUGGUGUAGCGGUUCACUGCUUAGAUAUCAC